rnacentral:rRNA from 1 species
UACGUAGGGUGCGAGCGUUGUCCGGAAUUAUUGGGCGUAAAGAGCUCGUAGGCGGUGUGUCGCGUCGGCCGUGAAAACCUGCAGCUUAACUGUGGGCUUGCGGUCGAUACGGGCAUCACUGGAGUUCGGCAGGGGGAGACUGGAAUUCCUGGUGUAGCGGUGAAAUGCGUAGAUAUCUGGAGGAACACCGGUGGCGAAGGCGGCAUCCUGGACCGAUACUGACGCUGAGGAGCGAAAGCCAGGGGAGCAAAGCGGG